rnacentral:rRNA from 1 species
AACCUGCCCAUAAGACUGGGAUAACUCCGGGAAACCGGGGCUAAUACCGGAUAACAUUUUGAACCGCAUGGUUCGAAAUUGAAAGGCGGCUUCGGCUGUCACUUAUGGAUGGACCCGCGUCGCAUUAGCUAGUUGGUGAGGUAACGGCUCACCAAGGCAACGAUGCGUAGCCGACCUGAGAGGGUGAUCGGCCACACUGGGACUGAGACACGGCCCAGACUCCUACGGGAGGCAGCAGUAGGGAAUCUUCCGCAAUGGACGAAAGUCUGACGGAGCAACGCCGCGUGAGUGAUGAAGGCUUUCGGGUCGUAAAACUCUGUUGUUAGGGAAGAACAAGUGCUAGUUGAAUAAGCUGGCACCUUGACGGUACCUAACCAGAAAGCCACGGCUAACUACGUGCCAGCAGCCGCGGUAAUACGUAGGUGGCAAGCGUUAUCCGGAAUUAUUGGGCGUAAAGCGCGCGCAGGUGGUUUCUUAAGUCUGAUGUGAAAGCCCACGGCUCAACCGUGGAGGGUCAUUGGAAACUGGGAGACUUGAGUGCAG